AUCCAGGAGGUGGAGGUUGCAGUGAGCUGAGAUCACACUCCUGCCUGGGUGACAGCAAGACGACUCCUCAAAAAAAAACCAAAAAUACGGGCACAUCAGUGGGAGGGAGGCUUGGAGAAUACUUGGUUGGUGUGUGGGCAGGGACUGCCAGAGGGUUAGGUGUGUUGGGUAUAGGUGAUAUGGCUAGAAUUGGGUUUCCUAAGCUGGUGUCUUAGUCCCAUUCUAAUCAUUGUUUGGGCCUGAAUCUCCCUAGCUUCUCUAAGCAUUAGAUGGGCACCCUCACAGGAUUGUUCUGAGAAUGUAAGCACCUAAUCUCAUGGCGUGAGCUAAAUUAUAUCAUAGAUAGUGGUACCAGUUCAUUCCUUCCCCUGAAAUGAUGGGGCUUGGGGACAGGUGCACUGAACUCAUCUUUGUGUAUGAGGGCCACAAGAGAGGCCUGGUUUGAGAACAAUGCUAAGAGAUCAGAUGCCAAGAUUUAUGUUGGGGCUGUAAUACUUCCCAGCUGUUUGACCUUGGGUGAGUCAUUUAACUUCAGCCUCAUGCCAUUUUACAUUUUCUGUGAGGGGUUAGGUUAAUCGGUAUAUAAAGCCACUGAGAAGAGUUGGCAAAACUCUCAGUCAUGGGGAUUUGAUCUUGGUGUGUGUGUGUGUGUCUUGAGGGGUAAGGUGGUGGUGAUUUUGUAACUCCAGCUGGUCUUUUAGUUCCUCGGCUCUCCCUUUAGUCACGGUUCUUUCUAGUGGCUAUACUGGGGUCCCAUGGAUAUUAUCCCUCCAUUGGUUCUGGUUUGGAAGAUAGAAAUCUCGUGUUCAUGGCUUUCACCUGGUUAAUAUUGAGACAAGUUACCACCAAGUUGCAAACUCCAGGACAUUAUUGUCCUUAGCUGCCUGUCCCACCCUCAUGUGUUGUGGAGCCCUGUGUUACGAGUUCCAGUCCUGGAGGCCUGCUUCCUGAGUCUCCCAGCUAGUUGUGACAGGCCUCAAUAUCCCUUGCUCUAACCCAAACAGUCAUGAAUCUGCUUUGGCAGGUGGAUGGAGACUUGGGAACUUCGACUUCACCCACUGAGCCAGGCCCAGGUUAUGGGGCAUUGUGGCUAACCCCACUAGCAUAUUGGAUGACAGCCAGUGUUCUACCAUUCUUACCUGCUUGUCAAGACAAAACCUGCCCAACUGCAUUCCAAGUGUUUUCAAAUUUGGUGGUAAGACCUGACCUGAGGUUGCUUACAACCUUUACUCAGUGGGAAUAUGCAUACAGUUUACUACAGGAAUAUUUGUGUUUGUUUAGAGUAGCUGCCAUGGAUCUGUGGGGGAUGGGUCUUUUCUAAAUUGUUAAAAGCAGUUCAUCCCAUUAUUAAUAAACAUUUCUAAUAUGCUGUGAAA